rnacentral:rRNA from 1 species
AUACGUAGGGUGCGAGCGUUGUCCGGAAUUACUGGGCGUAAAGAGCUCGUAGGUGGUUUGUCGCGUCGUCUGUGAAAUUCCGGGGCUUAACUCCGGGCGUGCAGGCGAUACGGGCAUAACUUGAGUACUGUAGGGGAGACUGGAAUUCCUGGUGUAGCGGUGAAAUGCGCAGAUAUCAGGAGGAACACCGGUGGCGAAGGCGGGUCUUUGGGCAGUAACGGACGCUGAGGAGCGAAAGCAUGGGUAGCGAACAGGAUUAGAUACCCUGGUAGUCCAUGCCGUAAACGGUGGGCGCUAGGUGUAGGGGUCUUCCACGACUUCUGUGCCGUAGCUAACGCAUUAAGCGCCCCGCCUGGGGAGUACGGCCGCAAGGCUAAAACUCAAAGGAAUUGACGGGG